rnacentral:misc_RNA from 1 species
GAUGAAGAACGUAGCGAAAUGCGAUAAGUAAUGUGAAUUGCAGAAUUCAGUGAAUCAUCGAGUCUUUGAACGCACAUUGCGCCCCCUGGUAUUCCGGGGGGCAUGCCUGUCCGAGCGUCAUUGCUGCCCUCAAGCACGGCUUGUGUGUUGGGCCUCCGUCCUCCUCCCGGGGGACGGGCCCGAAAGGCAGCGGCGGCACCGCGUCCGGUCCUCGAGCGUAUGGGGCUUCGUCACCCGCUCUUGUAGGCCCGGCCGGCGCUUGCCGACACAUCAAUCUUUUUUCUAGGUUGACCUCGGAUCAGGUAGGGAUACCCGCUGAACUUAAGCAUAUCAAUAAGCGGAGGA